AUGUCAUAUAUAACAAUUUAACAAAACAAACGCGUGUCUGACGUAUUAAAUUAUAAUCCUAGUACCUUUUGAUAACUAUUAACACUUAACCCAAAAAGGAUCUUUUUCAUAUUUAUCUUUUCUAUAAUCAUUGUACUUACAGUUGAAGACUGAAUCCUGUGUUAGAUAAUUGAGUUGUGUCUUAUUAGGUUUUAGGUGUAAUCCCCUUAAAACCGUCUGUCGUGUUAUGAUGCUAUCUUGCUUACUUUAUAUUUUAUAUUCUUUACAAUCGAAGACCACAGAAGUAAAAUCAAAAUGACAAAUGGAAUCCUUUCUGAUCUGUAGACGUUCGAAUAACCCACAUUAUAAGUUUAACACAUAUUUAUGUCACUCAAACAACAAAUUAAAUGACAUUCAUGAUCUCAAUUUGUUUCAUAACCUUAUUAAGUUUAUACAUACCACAAUAAUACAUUAAGCAAGUUCUUUUUUUGUGGGUCAGCAUAUUUUUUGUUUUUUUUUCAUAAAAUGUAGAUGAUUUUCGAAAUCUUUGAAAUUAAAAAUAAUAAAAUAUUAUAAUUUAACCAGAGAUAUUUUCGUUAGCCCGUAAUAGAUUUGAUUUAAUUAAAAAAAAAAAAAAAACAUUGGCAAAUGUUUUGAUGUGCACACCACAGGGAUCUACGACUAAAUUUCUGAUACGAUAUAAGAUACUGCUUGAUGUUGGUCUUUUCCUUCUAAGCAGUACAUACGGCUAUAACGAGACGACGAAAUGAAAUAGUUGAUAUUGAAAAAACACAAAAUUGAGGGGAAAAUAAAUGACUAGAAAUGACUAGAAAUGUGACUACUACAAGGAAUAUAUGCGGGAAAGGGUAGUCUCGGAAAAUUAAGAUGAUUGUUGGGUCUUUUUCAUACAGGGGCAUGAAACACUCCUAAUAUGGGCCAAAAAGUAAAGUCUCCGAUUGACAUAUUGCAUGUUUGAACAUUCAAUACAAUAAUAGCGGACUCUCAGCGGAGCAGCGUUAAAUCUCUGCUUUCAACAUCUUUCUGUUUGAACCUGUCGACCUGGAACUUUUAAAUUAUUGGUAUUAUUAUUUAUUUGGAAAAAGGGCCUGGAAAGGAGUAUUUUUUAAUCAGCA
rnacentral:lncRNA from 1 species